GACGAACGCUGGCGGCGUGCCUAAUACAUGCAAGUAGAACGCAGUUGCGAACGGGUGAGUAACGCGUAGGUAACUGCCUGGUAGCGGGGGAUAACUAUUGGAAACGAUAGCUAAUACCGCAUACUACCAGAUGGACCUGCGUUGUAUUAGCUAGUUGGUGAGGUAACGGCUCACCAAGGCAACGAUACAUAGCCGACUUGAGAGGGUGUACGGCCAAACUGUGACUGGUACACGGCCCAGACUCAUAACGGAUGCAGCAGUAGGGAAUCUUCGGAAAUGGGGGGAACCCUGGCCGAGAAACGCCGCGUGAGUGAAGAAGGUUUUCGGAUCGUAAAGCUCUGUUGUUAAGGAAGCGGUACUUAACCAGAAAGGGACGGCUAACUACGUGCCAGCCGCCGCGGUAAUUC
rnacentral:rRNA from 1 species